rnacentral:rRNA from 1 species
GACAGAGGGUGCAAACGUUGCUCGGAAUUACUGGGCGUAAAGCGCGUGUAGGCGGGCAUGCAAGUCGAGUGUGAAAUCCCUGGGCUCAACCCAGGAACUGCAUUCGAGACUGCAUGUCUAGAGUGUCGGAGAGGGAAGCGGAAUUCCUGGUGUAGAGGUGAAAUUCGUAGAUAUCAGGAGGAACACCGGUGGCGAAGGCGGCCUUCUGGACAGUGACUGACGCUGAGACGCGAAAGCGUGGGGAGCAAACAGG